rnacentral:rRNA from 1 species
ACCAGCAGCCACAGCAUGUUAAAUGUACCAGUUCUCGAGGGAUCACUGAAGCCAAGCAACGUUGUGAAUGGUUGGUACCCGGACCCGGAUGGGUGACCAUUUGGGCUUUUC